UAUUGAAUUUUUGGAAGCAAACGUUCAUGCAUAUUCCUUUCGAAACGAAACCGUACCGACAUCUAUACAGCCGCCAUAGUACAUGCCAGUGUUUUUCAACCUUUUUUGAUGUUCGAAUAACUUGCGAUCUCCUUCGAUAAAGUAAGCUUGCGAUCCACAGGUUGGGAAUCACUGGUGUAUACAAAAGUUCACGCUAUGCCUGGAGAGAAGCCAAACGAAAAACGCAAAAAUGCAAAUCUGCUUUUAUGCAUGGCCACCUACCGAAGUUUGAUCACUGUUUUGUGAUCCGGUGGAUAUACAUUCCGGUCGAUUAUGUCCAUCAGUUCACAAUUCGUAAUUUACCGACACGAUCGAAAAGAAAUUGGAGAGGAACGAUUCGAUAUGUCGGCUGCAACGAGGUUAGAAAAUUACUGCGCAAAAUAUCGCGGGAUCAACGCAAGCUCCUCACCUUUUCCACACGUUGCAAAUGCAAUUUAGUUCACGAUUCCGAGUGGGGACACACCGCCAUUGCGACGUGUCAUUGUCAAGGAUAUACAUUGACGCAAUAAACAUUGCUUUUAAGAAAAGAGGAUUUACUUUAACGAUUCUUUAAAUUCCAUUAAGAGAAUAUACUUACGGACACAAAGACUUUACAGAUCUUCGAGAAGGCGUGUAUCGAGAGAGAAGGAGCAGGUGCAAAUUUUCGUCAGACGGAAUCGUUUGUUUUUCGUUUACCCCUUGGGCGAGAAAGGCACGCCAGAGAGGGCUCUCCUCUCGCCCGUUGUUCGUAACGAACGUACUGACGAAGUCUCUAUAAAUAGCGGGUGCGUUACUGAAAUACGUGAAACGAAUAUGUAUACGUAUGCAUUCACAAAAAAAAAA